AACUGAGGGGGGCUGCUCCUAGUACGAGAGGACCGGAGUGGACGCAUCACUGGUGUUCGGGUUGUCAUGCCAAUGGCACUGCCCGGUAGCUAAAUGCGGAAGAGAUAAGUGCUGAAAGCAUCUAAGCACGAAACUUGCCCCGAGAUGAGUUCUCCCUGAGACUUAAAGUCUCCUGAAGGAACGUUGAAGACGACGACGUUGAUAGGCCGGGUGUGUAAGCGCAGCGAUGCGUUGAGCUAACCGGUACUAAUGAACCGUGAGGCUUAACCUU
rnacentral:rRNA from 1 species